UGGACUUUGUCUUAGCUGGCUCAGUUGGGAAUACAGUUGAGGCUUCCUGACUCCCAGCAACCCCCAUCAUUUUUUCCUAGAUGAAACAGAAUACUUCUGAUCUUUGGUUAGUAAGCAACUAGCCAUAGGAGUCGCAUAAUACUGAACAGACCAAACCAAAUAAAUUAAGGCUGCUAAAGUGAACUGGACAGCUGACCUGUUAUAAUGCCUACUCAAAGAGCCAUGUUUUGCAAGUUAUCAAACUAUCUAGUAGAAUUUUAGACCCCCACAUGCAAUCCCAGAUAUAUGCAACAGUUCUGCCACUAUUCUAACAUCUAAGAGUAACCAUAAUUUCCCCUGUUUUUGUCUUUUUUAAUUAAAAAAAAAAGUCCUUCACGGUGAAAAUGACCUACAUCAUAAACUAUUUUGUAGAUGUGUAGGUGUCUUGGCUGAAUUCCAGCAUGGAUAAUUACAUUCUGCUUACUCCUUGCAGCUCUAAUGAAAUAGAGCGCUCUUCACAACUUGUCCUCAAACACUGUAGAAGUGCUGUAGGCUGUAAUACAGUGAAAAAUACCUUCUCUUAUUGAAAUUGCAAGGGAAAUUUAAGCAGACAAAAAGCAAUUACCAGCACUGGAAUUUGGGCAGGACACCAAAGUUAACUCCCCUACUCUUAUAUUAAUAUCAAGGGACAUUUUGUAGGUAUAAGUGGCCAGACCCUUGUUGGAUAGUCCACAUGGGAUCAGAGCAAGAGGCUGUGUGACUACAACUUUGAAUUCCUGAAUAUUUUUGCACCUGGAAAACGGUUGUAGACAAAUGGGUGAAUAUGUGAAAGGCUGUAAUGUUGUAAGCCAAGGAGACUGUUACAAAUGUUUUGCUUUGUUGUUGUUGUUAUUUAAAGGAAUUUAUUAAAUU